GAUGAACGCUGGCGGCGUGCCUAAUACAUGCAAGUCGAGCGAACGGACGAGAAGCUUGCUUCUCUGAUGUUAGCGGCGGACGGGUGAGUAACACGUGGAUAACCUACCUAUAAGACUGGGAUAACUUCGGGAAACCGGAGCUAAUACCGGAUAAUAUUUUGAACCGCAUGGUUCAAAAGUGAAAGACGGUCUUGCUGUCACUUAUAGAUGGAUCCGCGCUGCAUUAGCUAGUUGGUAAGGUAACGGCUUACCAAGGCAACGAUGCAUAGCCGACCUGAGAGGGUGAUCGGCCACACUGGAACUGAGACACGGUACAGACUCCUACGGGAGGCAGCAGUAGGGAAUCUUCCGCAAUGGGCGAAAGACUGACGGAGCAACGCAGCGUGAGUGAUGAAGGUAUUCGGAUCGUAAAACUCUGUUAUUAGGGAAGAACACAUGUGUAAGUAACUGUGCACAUCUUGACGGUACCUAAUCAGAAAGCCACGGCUAACUACGUG
rnacentral:rRNA from 1 species